GCAGACAGAAAAAUUCACUGCAAGUAGAGCACUUUCUAGAUUGCUCCUGGAGUGUGGGAACAACAGUCUCUCCUGUCCACGUUACUGAAUCCAGAAAAAAGAAACAAAUUCAAGGAGCAGCAGCCAAAUACCUACGUUGGCUUUAAAGAGUUCUCUAGAAAGUGUUCGGAAAAAUGGAGAUCCAUCUCAAAGCAUGAAAAGGCCAAAUAUGAAGCCCUGGCCAAACUCGACAAAGCCCGAUACCAGGAAGAAAUGAUGAAUUAUGUUGGCAAGAGGAAGAAACGGAGAAAGCGGGAUCCCCAGGCACCCAGACGGCCUCCAUCAUCCUUCCUACUCUUCUGCCAAGACCACUAUGCUCAGCUGAAGAGGGAGAACCCGAACUGGUCGGUGGUGCAGGUGGCCAAGGCCACAGGGAAGAUGUGGUCAACAGUGACAGACCUGGAGAAGCACCCUUAUGAGCAAAGAGCGGCUCUCCUGAGAGCUAAGUACUUCGAGGAACUUGAACUCUACCGUAAACAAUGUAAUGCCAGGAAGAAGUACCAAAUGUCAGCUAGAAACUGGUGAAGAGGGAAAAGAGUCAGGCAGAGCUGAUGGAUCCAGUUUGAAAAAACAAAAUGCCAUUCAACCGUA
rnacentral:sRNA from 1 species